AACGCAAAUCGCGCUCGAGGCCUCGGCCGAGAGCAUGCCUGCCUCAGCGUCUUUUUCCACUCCUCCCCCUUUCGAUGCGCAUCGAAAGGGGGGAGCUGGUCGUUUCGAGCGUCGAGCUGGAAUCGGCCGAAAGGCAGAAGCGCCGCCCGCCCCUCUCGAAAGGGAAAGGGUGACCGAAAGGUGACAGCCCAGCUGGUCCGAUCGGUGCCCGGGGCCGGGCGAGCGCUCGACCGGAGACUGCAUCAACGAUUUCGACCUGAGUUCAGGCAAGAUUACCCGCUGAACUUAA
rnacentral:misc_RNA from 1 species